UUUUAUGACCCUGGCGGCAGGCUUAACACAUGCAAGUCGAGCGGAAACGAUGGUAGCUUGCUACCAGGCGUCGAGCGGCGGACGGGUGAGUAAUACUUAGGAAUCUACCUAGUAGUGGGGGAUAGCACGGGGAAACUCGUAUUAAUACCGCAUACGACCUACGGGAGAAAGGGGGCAGUUUACUGCUCUCGCUAUUAGAUGAGCCUAAGUCGGAUUAGCUAGAUGGUGGGGUAAAGGCCUACCAUGGCGACGAUCUGUAGCUGGUCUGAGAGGAUGAUCAGCCACACCGGGACUGAGACACGGCCCGGACUCCUACGGGAGGCAGCAAGUGGGGAAUAUUGGACAAUGGGGGAAACCCUGAUCCAGCCAUGCCGCGUGUGUGAAGAAGGCCUUUUGGUUGUAAAGCACUUUAAGCAGUGAAGAAAACUUCCGUGGUUAAUCCCCACGGACCGAUGACAUUUACUGCAGAAUAACACCGGCUAACUUUUGUGCCACCAGCCCCGGGUAAUCCAGAAGGGGCAAGCGUUAAUU
rnacentral:rRNA from 1 species